GAUGAAGAACGCAGUGAAAUGCGAUAAGUAAUGUGAAUUGCAGAAUUCAGUGAAUCAUCGAAUCUUUGAACGCACAUUGCGCCCGCCAGUAUUCUGGCGGGCAUGCCUGUUCGAGCGUCAUUUCAACCAUCAAGCCCUGCUUGCGUUGGGGUCCUGCGGCUGCCAGCAGGCCCUGAAAACCAGUGGCGGGCUCGCUAGUCACACCGAGCGCAGUAAUACAUCUCGCUUUGGGCGUGCGGCGGGUUCUUGCCGUUAAACACCCCCUUUUUACCAAGGUUGACCUCGGAUCAGGUAGGAAUACCCGCUGAACUUAAGCAUAUCAAUAAGCGGAGGA
rnacentral:misc_RNA from 1 species